rnacentral:lncRNA from 15 species
AGAGCGGGAGGAGAAGAGAGAGGAGAGCAGACAGAAAAACACAGUAAAGAAGCAAGAAGAGGUGGAAGGAGAGAGAGAAGACGAAGAUGAGGUGGAAGGAGAGAGAGAAGAGGUGGAAGGAGAGAGAAGAGGUGGAAGGAGAGAGAGAAGAGGUGGAAGGAGAGAGAGAAGAGGUGGAAGGAGAGAGAGAAGACGAAGAUGAGGUGGAAGGAGAGAGAGAGAAGAGGUGGAAGGAGAGAGAGAUGAGGUGGAAGGAGAGAGAGAAGACGAAGAUGAGGUGGAAGGAGAGAGAGAAGACGAAGAAGAGGUGGAAGGAGAGAGAGAAGACGAAGAUAAGGUGGAAGGAGAGAGAGAGAAGAGGUGGAAGGAGAGAGAGAAGAGGUGGAAGGAGAGAGAGAUGAGGUGGAAGGAGAGAGAGAAGACGAAGAUGAGGUGGAAGGAGAGAGAAGAGGUGGAAGGAGAGAGAGAAGAGGUGGAAGGAGAGAGAGAAGAGGUGGAAGGAGAGAGAGAAGGGCAACAGAAACGUGACAGAGAGAGAAUACAAGGCCAAGGCGACCAGGGACAGGAGGAGGAGGGAGAACACCACAGCGGUGAAGAUAUGGAGGAGGGAGAGCAUCACCAAGAUGAGGAGGGAGAAAGCGAGAGACAAGAUAAGCUGCAGGGCUCAGACAGUGAAAGGGAAAGGAGAGUGCCUGAGCCAUCAGCAACUAUCUCCAGUGGAGCUGGUCCACAUGACGUAUCCAAGUCCAGGUGUGAGGUGCCAGUGCAGCCAAUGCGUGAGAGUUUCCCUAAGACCCUCCAGGGAGGAGCCAGGAGAAGCUUCCGCAGCGACUGGUACAAAUCUCAUCCCUGGUUAGAAUACUCACAAUCCAAAGAUGCAGCUUACUGUUUUCCUUGUAGGCAUUUUUCCCUCCCUGAUGCUCCAAGGACUGUUUUCACCUCAUUCGAGGGUUAUCGUAACUGGAAAAAGGCUACAAUGAAAGACAGUGGUUUCUGUUCUCAUGCCAGAUCUUAAGGCCAUGUAAAUGCAAUGUUUGCAUGGACAGAGAACAAGAACAUUAUGGAUAAAAAUACCUCAAUGUUUGGACUAAUGGAUGAACAAAAAAAGAAGCAGGUGGCUGAAAAUCAAUACUACAUUAAAACAUUAGCUGAAAUUUUAGUUCUAAC